rnacentral:rRNA from 1 species
GACGAACGCUGGCGGCGUGCCUAAUACAUGCAAGUCGAACGCAGUGGGGACGGGUGAGUAACACGUGGGUAACCUCCCAUCAGAGGGGAUAACACUUGGAAACAGGUGCUAAACCGAUACUGAUGGAUGGACCCGCGGUGCAUUAGCCAGUUGGUGAGGUAACGGCUCACCAAGGCCACGAUGCAUAGCUGGCCUGAGAGGAUGAUCAGCCACACUGGGACUGAGAAAGGGCCCAGACUCCUACGGGAGGCAGCAGUGGGGAAUCUUCGGCAAUGGACGAAAGUCUGACGGAGCAAUGCCGCGUGAGUGAAGAAGGUUUUCGGAUCGUAAAACUCUGUUGUCAGGGAGGCGGUAUCUAACCAGAAAGCCACGGCUAACUACGUGCCAGCAGCCGCGGUAAUUC